CCUACGGGAGGCAGCAGUGGGGAAUUUUGCGCAAUGGGGGCAACCCUGACGCAGCAACGCCGCGUGAGUGAUGAAGGCCUUCGGGUCGUAAAGCUCUGUCAGAGGGGAAGAAAUGCAGGUGGUGAACAACCAUUCUGUUUGACGGUACCCUCAAAGGAAGCACCGGCUAACUCCGUGCCAGCAGCCGCGGUAAUACGGAGGGUGCGAGCGUUGUUCGGAAUUAUUGGGCGUAAAGCGCGUGUAGGCGGUUUGUUAAGUCGGAGGUGAAAGCCCCGGGCUCAACCUGGGAAGUGCAUUGGAUACUGGCAGACUUGAGUACGGGAGAGGAGAGUGGAAUUCCCAGUGUAGGAGUGAAAUCCGUAGAUAUUGGGAGGAACACCAGUGGCGAAGGCGGCUUUCUGGGCCUAUCCUGACGCUGAGGAGCGAAAGCGUGGGGAGCAAACCGGAUUAGAUCCCCUUGUAGU
rnacentral:rRNA from 1 species